rnacentral:lncRNA from 1 species
AACGGGCCCGCGGAGCGAGAGGGGCCGCAGGCUGAGGCGCGGUGGGCUUAGCCGAGGCAGCCCCCGGCGGCCGGGAGCGGUAUCGAGCUUCUGGACUUUCGGGCUUCUGCAUCGCUUCGGCCGGGACGCAGCUUCCCCGGACGCCAGCUGGAGGGUGUGACUGUGAGCCAGGCAUCGUUGGCUUUUUCUCUGUGUUGGCUUCUGAACAAAGGUGCUGCUGAAAGGGUUGGUGCUGUUUUCACUCAGUCUGCAUCUGAUAUAACACAGCUCUUCUUAGACUGUGCAUACGCUUGUUGAGAGAAUAAGGAACAGAAGAACUCUGCCAGGAUGUAGGUUAGUUUUCUCUUUUACCAUUCACCAGCAUCACUUCUGAAUUCAGCGUGUGAACUCUUGGGGCAGGUCCAUGCGUUUCAGUAGUCCUCUGUCAAACACCAUGUUCUGGAUUCUGUAUUAAUAUGCCUAUCAAAGAUUUAAGCAAACUGCAAUUUAUCCUCUUCCCAGUUCCAAACUUGAGUAAAUGUUUUCAAAAACAAGGUACCCUUCCUCUCCAAGUGUAGUGAGGGACUUACUUUUGAAAAGCUGGCACAGAUCCCCUAAAUUCUGGAAGAUAAUGGAGGCAUCUAGGCUGAGUCUGUUCCCUGUCCUAACCCUUCCUGCAUGUUAGAGGAAGUUCCAAUAUCUGUUUGCCAGUAUGCUUGAUCCUCCCAGAGCUUCAUGAUCUAUUAGUAGUAUUUUUGUGCUCUGUUUCCACAGCAACAGCACACUUUCCCCUCCCCCCCCCAAAGGUGGCUGUUGCUUUGAGAAUUAGACCUGUGGAAAAGCUUGGCCUUCUUGUUACUGUGCUGGCAUAGGUCAUGAGAGGGGUGGGGAGAAUGUGACCAUCACUGAAGCUUCUGUGGUUAUGGAGUGACAGGGGAACAAAUGAGGCCUACUUAAUUGUGGGUUCAGUGUUACUAAAAUAAUUGUGUUGAAAACGUUGGCUCAUUCUGAGCUCCGUGAAUGAAAGUCUUGGAAUUGUGACAUUAGCAGUGAUCAUUUUAGCUCUUUGCACAUACUCUUGUAAUCAUGCAGGACCCAUGUCCUCUUCAUGCAUGUGCUCAUGCACAGUACAAAACCAGAUGUACAUUCUUCUGUGCAGCUGCUCAUAGGCACUUCUUGUGUGCAUGUUACAUUAAGAAGCCUAGUCUUCUGUCAAAGUGUUCAUUGUAGUAUUGUAGGGAAGGGAAUUGCUGUGUUUAAUUGCUCCACUGAAAUAGGAAAUAAACAUUAUGCUACCUCUUUUCUUAUGUUAAUAAAGCAUGACACCUCCUGUGGUAGCAAGACUCUUUCAGACUCAAGUAUACAUGCCAGUCUGAACAUUUUCUGCUGCGUGGAAGACUAACAAGGUUUCAAUUUAUAAAGUAUUUCCAUAGGUCAGUUAUUUGCCCUUUUUUGUUAUUGUUUAAAAGGAGUGAGAACAGAAACAUUAUAUGACUGAAUACCAUACAAGUUGAGUAUAUAAUUAAUAUUGGAUUCUGGAAUUUCCCUUCCUUUAGAAGUGAAUAACUAAAGCAGUAUCUUGUCAUUCUUAGGCUUUUACAGGAAAGGCUUCUGUUUGAUAUACAGUGUGGUGGCUGUCUACCAUUAGUGUUUUGGUUCCUAGUAGUUAGGAUGCCAGUUUUGUUUCUCUCAGGAAGAAUUGUAGGUUGAAGUGUUGAUGACCAAAAUCCAUUUCUAGUGGUUGAGGCCACAUGAUCUGGGGUUAUCAUGGAAAGGCACAAUGUUUAUAGCCAUUUUCACGGUGAUAAGGCCAGAAAUUUACCAAAUCUUAUCCAUUUAAAAUGUAAAAAACUGUUCAGUGUUGAACACGCAUGUCACAAAUGUCACGUAUUUACAAAGACAGAAAUUAAACUAUCAUGUAUUAAUUUCUAGUUAUAAACACAUCUAGGUACACGUUUCUUGUUAAAGAUCUCAUAGUUUGAAAAUGAAGACCAUUUCAGUACUGAACCUUUUAAAAAUGAUGUCAAGUCUUGCAUCACUUGAUUUUAGACCUGUUUCUGGUUAUAUAUGGCUCUUUCUGACAGCACACUGAAGAAACCGCACAUUUUACUUUACUUGAGAACUUGUUUAUUAAAAGACCAGGGUAUAAAGUUCCACAACUGUUUAACAUUCAGUAAUUUACCAUUAAGCUGCUUGACACAAGUUAAAAUUUAUGUUAAUAGUGUCUUGAUUAAACGGCACUCAUUAUCACUCACUGAGAUAUGGCCGAAUCAGUUUCCUAACAGAUGUCUCAAUAAAGGAGCCAUCCUACUAUAGCAUGUCCAAAUUAAGUUGAAUGUGUUGCAUUAAUGUUUUUCACUUAUAUAGCAUCUUUCAUUUCAGAGCACUUCACACAACCAUGAUUGAUAUUGGGAAAACAGAUUAGGUUAAUAUUAUGACCAAAGCAAAUGUAUGGGUUUAAAGAGCUACAGGACAUUUUGUAACUUCAACAGUUGUCUUGCAAUACAGUUUUUAAUGCUUGAUACAGUAUAGUUAUGUACUUCCUUCCAUGGAACUCUGUUAAUGUAGCUUGCAGAAGGUCUGAGUUAACCCUCGAAGGGUUGGAACAGGUGCCUCUGGAGAUGCAAAAUAUUUCAAACCUCAGCUUUGAACUAUUUUUAAGUAAUCUUUUCCAGCCAGUCCUACACUCUUCAGGGCUCUUCAUGCCUUUCAUCUUUCAUUUUCUGUUAAAAUUGUUUUAUCAACAUAGGAAAUAGUUGUGAUUUCCCAUCUCUCCCUUAAAUUACUCUUUUGUGCCUACUUGCAACAUCACUUAAAACUCCUGUCGUAUAGACUGUGCCAAAGUAACUGGUGAUUCAAGUACAGAACAUAGCUUUUUCCAUAUGCAGAGUUAGGAUCGCAACGAGGAAUAAAAACAUUCCUCCUUACGUCCUCACCAUUUGCUUUUAUAUAUUUUACAUAUGUAGAAAAAGCUAAUCCCACUCAUAUUGUGCAUAUGCAAAUCUAAAGAUUUUUUUCUGUAUUCAGUUUCUGUGCCUGUAAUGCAUUUUUCCAGCUUCCAUUUUACAGCCUCUGCAGCCUUGGAAAUUGUGUUAUAGUUGUAAUAUAGUGCAAAGCAAAUAAAAAAAACUCUAAACAAGUCACUGCCUAAUUUUUUCUGCUAAAGAAUUAGACUAAUCACAUUUUACAUUUACUUAAUGGUUACAUUUAUUGAUCGUAUUUUACAGAUUGUGUAACUGAGAGCAGACCCUGAAGGCAAUUUGCCCAAGAUCCCAGUAUUUCCUGUAAUUCUGGUUGUGUUUUCCUGAUUUGAUUUGGAAUAUCCAAUUAAGAAUGAUAUGUAAUUUCAUAGAUGUGUGAUGUAUCAAGUUUGUGGCUCAUCUGAUAACAUUCAGGCUCACCAUUUCCCUCUGCUGCAUGCACCUGGCUGGAUUUUCUCGUAACUGCAACUCAUUUUAUUGUCAAAUUUUCCCAAACUUAAUCUGAAGUGAGUCAUGUAUUAAGGUCAAUGGCCAUGUCGUAUUACGAGAUGAAUAGUUCAGUUGGAUCUCAGCCAUUCUUGAAAGAGAUGAGUACUUUUUCCAAGUUUUAAAACUAUUUCUUGCAUUUUUGAGCCUUUAUAUAAUUCAAAGACGGGGAGGGAAGGGAAUUUUUUUAAAUGAAGGAUGUAAUAUUUCAUUGCCGAAGGCAAAUGUUAGAGAAGCUGAGGAGCAAUGGGGAGCAGGCCGUGCAGAGGGCAUGGUUUUGUAAUGAUGUCAAUCGCUGUGCAUGUAGUGUGCAGUGCAGGAAGGGCUGUUUGUUUGUCUGUUGGUUUUCAGAGAACUGCUAGUCCUAGGCCCAGCUGGAUACAGCCAUAACAUAGCAGGCAGUAAGCUACGUAUGCGAAUCUCCUUCAUAGCGCUUUGCAAUGAAGGGAGGUUGCUUGUUCCUUUCUCAAAGCCUACAUUCUGCUGUUUGGGCUGUGAGAUGAGUGGAGGAGGGGGACUGUGGCCGUGACAGCUUCUGCCUCCUUUGGCAGUGCUUGUUGGGGUCAGCUGGGUAAGCUGGCAGACUUACCAGGGUCUGCAGAGCGCUCCCCUCCUGACCCCUCUGACUCCUCAGUCCCUGCAGUCUGUCGGUGGCACUGCCCGUGGGGAGCUGCUAGCUGUGAGAGAGCUUUGGGCUUGAUUUACUGCUGGUGCUAUAACGUUUAAUGGAAAUGAAAGAUACGGCAAGUGAGAACUGGUGAGAGAAUCAUAGAAGCCUUUCUGAGGCAUUAAUGGUCCUCCUAGUGGAGUCCUCUUACAUUAUUCAUGCCCUUUGAGCCAAGCUGAGCACUCUUCACUCCUAUAGUAGAAGGUAAAAGGAAAUUAACCCUGUGGUGAUAUAUUGAAAGUUUCUUGUCAAAGUAAUAAUUUUGACAGUGUGUUGAGGGAAUGGAAGCAUAUCUGAAAGGGGAAAAAACAGAUUUCAACUCUGAACUGAUGUAAGAGUGCUCAAGAGUACUCUGCAGUGAAGAAAUACAAAGAGCACUUGAACUUACAUACAAGGUCCUGAGGUCCCUCUGUAGCUUUCCCAUCCUCAUCAAGUAUGUCUUCCAAGUAUCAAAAGGUAUACCUUGUAGCUGCAAGAUGAGCUAGUGCUCUAAGCUUUCCAGCUGAUGCUAAGAAAAACUUUGCCAUGGAAGACUUCAGCAUGUUCAGAUUGACUGUAGUAGCCAAGACUUCUCAAUGAUUUGUAGAUCAAGUAUCAGAAAUCUGUCAUUCCAGCCUGGCUGUAGUAGAUGUUGCUGUGUGUAUGACUGUUUCUUUGAACUUGUGUGCUUUUUCUUAGGCAAAGCCAUCAUGUUUAGAGUUCUUGUUUUUUCCUGUUCCCAUCGCAUCUUCUACCUCCUGUUUUUAACUUAUCCCAUUGUUAUGUACAGUUGGACUGUGUGCUCAAGGGAGCUUUUAGGAAGGGCUCAGAAACAGGAGGCUUUUAAUGCAAUGGAUCUAUAUAGGUAAUUGAUCUGGGAUAUUUGUGCUGAGGAGGUUUCCUAUAUCCAGCUUUUACUCCCUGUCCAUUCCUCAGCUCCUCUGAGGUUUGACAGCAAGUAUCCAGAAUGUCAAACAGAUUAUGGCAAACUAGCAGAGAAUGACCUCACUCAGCAGCUAAGAGCAACUUUGGGAAGGGAGCAGAGAAGGUGACUGUAAAUAGUGUUCUUUGCUGGUGCACAAACUUUGAUUUACUGUAUGUACCUUUUGUAGGUAGGACUAAAAUAUGUUACUUCGGAGGCAGGAGAAGAGAACUCACAGUGGAAAAAUCAGUAUCCAUGCCAAGCACUGACUGACUUCUCAGCACAGAACACAGGUGCCCAGUGCAUUCACAGGCUUAUUCCUCCUUUUUCCUUUUCCUCUUACAGAAAAUCACGCUCAGGGAUGAUAUGUUAAAAGUUAUUUGUUAUCUAGAAGCCUAAGCUCUGUGACUUUUAGGUAAAAAAGCAUUCUGCAAAUUUAACUCUGGAAAGUUUGUGUUUUAUGGGCUGGAGGGAGUUGCUUUGUUUGUAUCAAGAAUUUAUUCGUGACAAGAAUUUGAUGCGUUUGCCACCUGACAUAAAUCUUAAUGAUAAUUUGGUUAAAAGACUGUGCUUGGAAUGAAGAGGCUCAGUGCACAGUGUAUCUCUCUAGACUGGCUUUCAGGAGAAAUUAAAGGUGUUCGGGCAACAGUAAUAAAAACAAAAAGAAAAAUGAUGCACAAAACAUGGUGAUUAUUAGUGCUAAAGUGGGUAUCAUAACCUCCUCCUUAAAGGGCUCUUUAAGAUAGAGUGAAAGAAAACAAUAGCUGUGAAGACUUGUGAAGGUUGUUCUUCCAGGACUGUGCUCUUGAUUGUGCAGCCUCAGAGCUGCAUGAAAAAUGAGCUGUUGCUGUUUUACCCAUUCAAGGCUGCUGAGCAUUUCUUUUUGCUGGCAGAUACAGCUGCUGGAUACUGUUGAAAUCCAAAUGUUACUAAUGGAAGCUUUUGGGUGAUGCUGAGAAACUGUAUUGAAAGUUUUGUUUUAUUUUUGAAGUAUGCUAAACAUUUAAUAGUUAAGCAGCUACACUCUUUGGCAUUGUUCAUUUAGGAUGUAUCCUUACAACCACUGCUGCCAUAGGAGAUGUUUUUUUUUUAACAUGGUGUUGUUGCUACAGUGUCAGUCAGUACGUGUGAUCUGUAACAAUUGCAACGAAAAAGAUGCCAGAAGAUCCAAAAAGUCUCUGUGGAAAGGCAUUGGCAGUCUAUGUUUUUCCACUGCCUGCUUGUAGCCUUAUGAAACAGGGCUUUUUGUAGUAUAUCUGCUCUUGGUUAAUUUUGUGAAUGAUCUCUGUAUUGCUUUAUGGGGAACUUCUGUCCUUCUGUAGGUAAUACUUGCAAAUUCCAUAUAUGCUGCCAGUUUAAAGAAAUCCUGGUUACAGCCUCUUUAAAAUGACACAAUGUGGUGCAGUCAGGCAGGAGCUCCGUGCCCGCCCCCAGCACAGUCAGCAGUGGUGGGGUCCCCGUUCACCUCCACACAUGGGCAGGAGAGCCCUGCUGGGAUUUCAGUCCAGCUGCCAUAUCCUUCCCGUGGCAAUUGGGAAGGUGCCCGCCGGGCUGUGAGGGGUAAGGUGCCGGUCGGGGACUUGAAACAAAGCAGCUGUGUGCUUAGCCUCCAUUGCAGUCAGUAAAUGGGAAAGUGAUUGGGAAAUAAAAAGCAGUAGUCGGAGCAUGAGAGAGCAGAGAAGCACCACUCCUCUCUGUCAGAAGAAGUGUGGCAGGAAAGUCCUGCUCUGGAGAACAGGUAAGCAUUGCCUGGGAAAAACAGGAGGGGGAUUGCAGAGCCUGAGUUUCACAUAAAGCAUGCUGGCUCCGUUUGAGUGUUCACUGUGCCUGCUAUGCCUAAUAAUGUCGAUAUUUGUAGAGUUCUAAGCAGGCUUUGAAAUUAGAGCUAUGUUGAGUUAAGGUAGAGGCCACUGUGUUGCAACUGUUGGCUGAGCAUUGAUAACAACUUUGUGUACUUUUUUUUUACUUUUAAGCUAUUUGACCUAAAAGAAAAUCUAGGAGUAUGAUUUUUAAUUGAUAAUUUAAUAAUUAUUGCAUUUUUUUAUGGUAAAAAUCAGUGCACUGCAGAAUGCUGUUGUUUUUCUGCAUCCCUAUUAUUUUUCUUCAUGGCCUAAUUAAACACAUGAAAUGAAACUAUUGGGCUUGGAUUUUUCCUCAGACAUGCAGAGAACUACAUGAUUCCUAUUUUCAAACUUUGAACCAUGCUUGUAAAUUGUUCCAAAGCAAGGAAAUGCAAGGUAAAAGGGAGAUGAGUAUCUCUUAUUCAGACUGGUGUGCACACAUAAUGGCUGUGCCUGGGAAACUGGUAGGGACCAGCACUUUGCACAGCAACACUUGCAGGCACUGGCAGCAGUGAAACAGAGGAAGUUUGUAAAAGGGGUAAAGCAGUGGUAGACAAGUCCAGUACUGCUUGUAUGGAAGGAAUUGGUUCAGAAGGUGUUAUCUUCUGUUAGGUUUGCUGUUCCUUGCUCAUGACAUACCUCCUCACUGUUUUCCCAUCUCUGAACUUCCUGGACUGUUUUACACUUGCAGGUAGGGCUCCCUUCCCUUACGUUUGUCCUAUUAGGCUGUAUGAGAGACAAUAGCAAAGCAUCUAAGAAACACAUACAGGUGUAUUGCUUACAUAGUUGAGUGAGAUUUAUAGCACUUGGGAUUGUGAUUGCUGGAGGCAUAGCACUGCUUCCCGCGUUUUAAGAUAUAGUUGAGUGGAGCUUGCACUGGAAUGGAACGGCCAGUAUGAGCUGGAGGAGCAAAUACAGGAGAGAGUGCUUCAGAGUGGUUAAAGUGGGGGAAAAAAUCACCAGUGUUUGACAGGAAUGUGUGUACAUAGUUAGUAGGAAAAAGUGCUCUUAUAUCUAUAUUUUUAUCUAUGUUCUCAUGGGGAAAACUGCUUUCAGUUAUCUGUAGUUUUGCAUAUAUUCCUAUCGGGAUAGUAGAAUGUGUAAAUAUAAACCAUCCUUGAUACUGAAUCUUUGGCACAUCAUCUGUCUGUCCCUUCAGAUGUAACAUACACAGUCCUUCCUUUCAGACAGAGGCUGCAAAAACCAGCUACGUGUUAGUCUUGAAGGCAGCAGUGCCUGGAGCAGCCUCAGCCAGGACCCCUAUCUGCACACUGACCAGGGCUCUGGGAACAGCCCUCAAGCUCAGACUUGGGUGUUCAGUCAUUGUGGGUCCUGGCCUGAGUGGUGUGGUGGGUGUGCCUGUCUCUUCUUUUGUCUCCUGCCUUGUUUUCUGAAUAAGCCUUGAAACCACACAGUAGGUGAUGUGUCUCCUUGUCCCUUCCUGGCCUGGUCUCCUGGAGAAUAUGGCUUUUAGAUUAAUACUAUUCUUAUGUGAGAAUUUCAAGGAAAACCGUAAAGGAUUUAUAUUGGUAGAGCUGUCUGAAACAUUUUUCACACUAUAUCAUUUUAUGCUCUCUAGAAGAUCAAGAGGACUAUCCAGAAAAUGAUUGCUGCUGAAGUUUGGCUAAUUAUUUUCCAGUUUUGCUUUAGUAUUUAAUAUAUUAAUGGAGAGUUCACGGAACAUAUAUCUGAAAUAAGUCUGUUACUCUAACCCUGUUCACUGGUCAGGUAUAUUUUGCAUUCAAAGGUCAUUUAUUUCCAUCAGAGUGGGAUGAAUGCAACAUAUUGCUGGUGCUUCUAUAUGUCACUCCUUCACCUUGUCAGAGACAUGCUUAACAUGAUUUUGGCAAUAAUUCUGUUGCUAAUUCUCUUGGGUGUUUCUAGUUCCUAGCUGCUGUACAGCAUCUUUAAUACUAAAUUCAAAAUGGCAUCUGUGUUUUUGUAUGCUGUUCUGCUGCAUAGAUUUUUUUCUUUCCCCUGUACCUUUAGUACUGUGGUUGAGGGAGGACCUUUUAUAUUUUGGCUCAUAUCUUGCAGUUUUCACCAUGGUCUUGCUGAGUACCUACAUCCACUGUUAGAACAAUGCUUGCUCCCGAUGGAGGACUACUGGAAGUAGCAAG